GACGAACGCUGGCGGCGUGCUUAACACAUGCAAGUCGAACGGAAAGGCCCUGCUUUUGUGGGGUGCUCGAGUGGCGAACGGGUGAGUAACACGUGAGUAACCUGCCCUUGACUUUGGGAUAACUUCAGGAAACUGGGGCUAAUACCGGAUAGGAGCUCCUGCUGCAUGGUGGGGGUUGGAAAGUUUCGGCGGUUGGGGAUGGACUCGCGGCUUAUCAGCUUGUUGGUGGGGUAGUGGCUUACCAAGGCUUUGACGGGUAGCCGGCCUGAGAGGGUGACCGGCCACAUUGGGACUGAGAUACGGCCCAGACUCCUACGGGAGGCAGCAGUGGGGAAUAUUGCACAAUGGGCGGAAGCCUGAUGCAGCAACGCCGCGUGCGGGAUGACGGCCUUCGGGUUGUAAACCGCUUUCGCCUGUGACGAAGCGUGAGUGACGGUAAUGGGUAAAGAAGCACCGGCUAACUACGUGCCAGCAGCCGCGGUGAUACGUAGGGUGCGAGCGUUGUCCGGAUUUAUUGGGCGUAAAGGGCUCGUAGGUGGUUGAUCGCGUCGGAAGUGUAAUCUUGGGGCUUAACCCUGAGCGUGCUUUCGAUACGGGUUGACUUGAGGAAGGUAGGGGAGAAUGGAAUUCCUGGUGGAGCGGUGGAAUGCGCAGAUAUCAGGAGGAACACCAGUGGCGAAGGCGGUUCUCUGGGCCUUUCCUGACGCUGAGGAGCGAAAGCGUGGGGAGCGAACAGGCUUAGAUACCCUGGUAGUCCACGCUGUAAACGGUGGGUACUAGGUGUGGGGUCCAUUCCACGGGUUCCGUGCCGUAGCUAACGCUUUAAGUACCCCGCCUGGGGAGUACGGCCGCAAGGCUAAAACUCAAAGGAAUUGACGGGGCCCCGCACAAGCGGCGGAGCAUGCGGAUUAAUUCGAUGCAACGCGUAGAACCUUACCUGGGUUUGACAUGGAUCGGGAGCGCUCAGAGAUGGGUGUGCCUCUUUUGGGGUCGGUUCACAGGUGGUGCAUGGCUGUCGUCAGCUCGUGUCGUGAGAUGUUGGGUUAAGUCCCGCAACGAGCGCAACCCUUGUUCACUGUUGCCAGCACGUUAUGGUGGGGACUCAGUGGAGACCGCCGGGGUCAACUCGGAGGAAGGUGGGGAUGACGUCAAGUCAUCAUGCCCCUUAUGUCCAGGGCUUCACGCAUGCUACAAUGGCUGGUACAGAGAGUGGCGAGCCUGUGAGGGUGAGCGAAUCUCGGAAAGCCGGUCUCAGUUCGGAUUGGGGUCAGCAACUCGACCUCAUGAAGUCGGAGUCGCUAGUAAUCGCAGAUCAGCAACGCUGCGGUGAAUACGUUCCCGGG
rnacentral:rRNA from 1 species